UCUCUCUCUCUAAAUUCUUUUACUCCAAAAUAAAAUAUAAUUAUAAAAACCGGAACAAUGAGUAUUGUGUUGAACAACGCAAAUCAAAAGAUGAAGUGUCAUGUUUUAGCAUAAUGACGUCAUAUCAAUAACAUUAAUUUGAAUUGAAAUCGGCUUAUUGCAAUGAUACGUGCGAUGGUAACUGGUUGUACGAGACUUGUAAUUGUAUCGAAUAAUUCAUUAUCAUACUGCGGAAUGCAAAUGUCUCUUAAUGCGAGCGUAGGAACAGUAGACCUUUUUCUCGUCUUUAGUCUCGCGGCGUGCUUCCAUCACGGUGCAGGCGAUCGGCAAAUAAUCGAGAAGCUAAGCGACGGGAAAAUUGCGAUCGGAGGGUGACCAAUCGCCCGUGAAAAUUGAAAAACUAUUUCGAUCUAUAGCGCUCGCAUGCAAAAGGGAUAUCGAGUUUGCCGUUACGUACCCAACCCAAUCUCCGCGAUUGAGUGUCUUUUGAGUCUGCGACGUUACGAGAUAAAAUAUCCGAUUUUAUAGGAUUGUAUAUCCAAUUAUUGUAUAAAGUGAUCAACGACGAAUAAUAGCCAGGCUAUUAGGUUUAUUCCACUUUCCUCGCAUGCAACUCUACACGUAAUACGAACGAUUCAAAGUCUCUGUUGUACAAUCUAAUCAAUGUAAUAUUUAUAUCUAUCGAGCAUUAUCUCUGAAACGCGCUAUUGCGUCACGGCAUAAUAACAUCCACAACGAGCAUACAUAAUUAAUAACGAUAGUGAGUGAUAUCAUAGACGUGAUCAUAGAAACGCCAUUUGUGCUAUAUACAUUAAUAAAUGAAAUGAUAUCCGGAUAUUAUUACACAAUUUAAAGAUGUCCAAAGUAUUCUAAGUGCAGAGGGGAAGGGGAAAGGACGCGGAACAAAGAGCUCUUCCGCGGAGCAGCUGCGUGAUGUGUCGACCCUCGGAAGUGGGCCUUUUUUCAGACAUUUUGGUCAGAGAUAACAUAUUAGAGAACAUUUUUCGGCGAGAUUUUUCGACAACGGCGACAGCCGCCUCUAUCUCCGUUGAAAAUAUUCUCGGCCAUUUUUCGUCCCCACCAAUAUAAUCCACCUUCUGAAAGAAAAGCAUCGAAGCCGUGAAGGUGGGGAAACCGUUAGAGAAUAAAACAAUGGAAAAAGUACCGCCAUCUUUAAUUCUGUCCCUAUUCGCCCUCCAGCGAUGAGUGAAGGGCAGUUUAUUCGGGAAAGAAGAAAAGAAUAAAGAGAACUGGUACAGCUGAUAUGGGACUGAUACAACUAAUGUAUCUUGGGACACCAUAGAAAUCGACAAGUUCGAAUCAUAAAUGCUAGAUGGAGAUGCUCAUCGCAACACAACCAAUUUGUGUGUCAAUUUGAUUAUUGAAUUAUUAUGUUGUAUCUUUGUUAUUGAUUUAUUAAAUAAAUCAUGAUAAUACUAGAUGAUUAUUCAUUAAUGACACGUACAUCAAUGAUAACGUACGUUUAAUGUUAUAAUGUCAAAUGAGUUUUAUCAUUUGUUGUCAUAGUCGCGAGAGAUUGAUAAUAGAAAAUGAGGCAUUUUAUUAUAACAAUAUUGUAAUUUUUCUUAUUCGCAAUUUCAUUAGCUUUAUAAACUACUGACUAAUUAAAAAGAUUAGAUUAAAGCAAACUUUUUUUCGAAAUUAAAUAUCUAAAAUUCUUUUCUUAUUUAUUUUCGUUCUAAAAAAAUUAAUUUAAAGAAUAAAGUUAAUCAAUCGUGACAAUCGAGAAUGCUCCAUUAUUCUAUUCUAUUAAUAAUGCAUCACUGUACUAGAGGUAUUUAGUUAUAUCAUGACCUUGUAGUUUUCUGAUAUUAAUAUAACAAGAAAGCAAAAAAAUUGAAUGAUCAUAGUUUAAUGAAAAGAAAAAACUUCAUGAUUAUUCCAUAUAAUUAUAUAACCUUGCAAUGGCUCGAUCAUUAUGUAUAACACAUUCAUUAUAUUCGCUAUCUUAUUUGAACUGAAUACACGCAGUAAUAAAAAGGAAUUGAAAGGAUUGAUAAACAGAUAUUAUGUAAUAAUAUUAUGUAAUAAUGUAACAGAUAUUAUAUAAAUUGAGGGAAACUGAUAACAUCAGCAGUUGUAUAAUGAUUAUAUGAAAUAUAUAUAAUAUAGUAU